rnacentral:SRP_RNA from 1 species
GUUAGGCAUGGUAGUACAUGCCUGUAAUCCCAGCUAUCUAUAGGGAAAACUGAGGCUGUUGGAUUUUGAACUAUGGAGUUCUGUGCUGCGGUGGUCUAUGCUGAUCACAUGUCUGCACUAAGUUCAGAAUUAAUACGGUGAACUGCUGGGAGGCGGUGGAAAUCACAAGAUUGCCUAAAGAGGAGCUACAGACCCAGGUCAGAAACAGAGCAAGUCAAAGCUCCCAUGCUGAUCAGUAAUGACAUCAGACUAUAGCACCUAAUACAUCUUGCCUGGGUAAGAUGAGAAGACUUUAACUUUU